UACGGGGGGAGCAAGCGUUGUUCGGAAUUACUGGGCGUAAAGCGCGCGCAGGCGGUUCUCCAAGUCAGUGGUGAAAGCCCGGAGCUCAACUCCGGAACUGCCAUUGAAACUGUUGAACUUGAGGACGAGAGAGGUGAGUGGAAUUCCCAGUGUAGAGGUGAAAUUCGUAGAUAUUGGGAAGAACACCAGUGGCGAAGGCGGCUCACUGGCUCGUAUCUGACGCUCAGGCGCGAUAGCGUGGGGAUCAAACAGG
rnacentral:rRNA from 1 species